rnacentral:misc_RNA from 1 species
AGUGGGCAUUUGGACCAUAUUUCCCUAUGCUGUGGCUGUUUUGACGGCAUUAUUCCUUUACAUGCAACGUUGCUACUCUACCUAGUAAUUUGUUGGUUAACUCAAUACUCAGAAAUUUGAAAAAGAGUAAGAAGCUAUCAAAUUUAUAUGUGUAACCGUACUACAGCCAAUUGUAUCCUGGGUGGUUUUGCAAUGUUUGUCGAAAAUCAUCUCAUAGUUGUCUAUUCUUUACUUUUUCUUUGCAUGUUAGAUGUAAAGUUGCCUUCGUAUUUUUUCUUCAGGAAGAAUGAUUUGUAUUUAUUUAAUGUAUCAACUCUAGCAAAGUAUAGUGUGCAGUCUCUGUUGAGUUGGAUAUUCUUAUCAUUGUGAAUGGCUACUUCAUUUCAUAUUAAAGAUGAUUUAUUGUAGCAAGAACAA